ACGGGAGGCAGCAGUGGGGAAUAUUGGGCAAUGGGGGAAACCCUGACCCAGCAACGCCGCGUGAAGGAAGAAGGCUUUCGGGUUGUAAACUUCUUUUAAGAGGGACGAAGGAGUGACGGUACCUCUUGAAUAAGCUACGGCUAACUACGUGCCAGCAGCCGCGGUAAUACGUAGGUAGCAAGCGUUGUCCGGAUUUACUGGGUGUAAAGGGCGCGUAGGCGGGGAUGCAAGUCAGAUGUGAAAUGCAGAGGCUUAACCUCUGAGCUGCAUUUGAAACUGUAUCUCUUGAGUACUGGAGAGGUUGGCGGAAUUCCUAGUGUAGCGGUGAAAUGCGUAGAUAUUAGGAAGAACACCGGUGGCGAAGGCGGCCAACUGGACAGCAACUGACGCUGAGGCGCGAAAGCGUGGGGAGCAAACAGGAUUAGAUACCCUGGUA
rnacentral:rRNA from 2 species